AUGUUACAAUUAAUCAGUAGAAUUUGAGAUAAUUUUAGAGAAAAAUAUUAAUCAUGGAUACAACGAUUAUGCUCAAUGAAGUUUUAACAUGAAGGCAUGAAAUCAGCAUCAAACAUUUAUACUAGAGAGAAAAUUUCGAUUUUGAAAACUCGAAGGAGAAAGUUAUACAUAUUCAUUCAUUGUUUUCUUAUCAUCAUGCAAGCACUAGAAAAUUUCAUGCUAAGAUCGUUUAGAUAAGAUUUAUCAUACAUACAAGGCAUUUAGUAAAUAUUCAAUAGCCUAACUGAAUUUACAAAGUUAAGCAUAUCAAGACAUGAAAUGACAAUUUAAAUUACAUUCACAAAUGAUGAAAUAAAAUUUAUUUAUAAGUCACGUGGCAUGGCGCACACCCAGUUAAGAGUUUCACAUGAGUUUCAAGGGCUGCUUUAACACAUUUGCAAGAUAAUCUUAGUUUUUCAUUUUAGGUACCCAAGCUUGCUUGGGUCUUUGGGAGUUAGUGCAUAUGGUUCCUUUUGGAACCCAAAUCUAUUUAAUUGUAAUAAUUUUGCCAUUUGAUUUGCUUGUAUUGAAACUAUAGGUAAAGUUUUUAUGCCUAUUCUUUUCAUAUUUGAAAUAAGUUAUCUUCUUUGAGGGUUUGCUUGGUGAAUUAAUUACCUUUUUAUUUAGAGGUUUAUUGUUAAGUAAAGAAGUCCAGUCAAGUUUUGAUUUAUCAAAAUCAGCAUGUUGGCUUUCAAACAUUGUUUUUAAUCAUUCUGAACUUACAAUGAAUUUGUUAAUAAAAGAUUUCAGUUGGUUAACUUCUUCACUUAAGUUUUGAUUCUGAUUUUUCUGAAUUAAUUCUUCUGAAUUUAACCUUAAAUGUUCAUUCUCAAAAUUUAAUUUGUCU
rnacentral:lncRNA from 1 species